CAAGGCUCCUUUUUUUUUUUUUUAAACAGAUGAGGAAGCUAGAAGUGGGCAGGUCAUACUUAACCCAGGGACCCCCUGCUGGUAAGGUGGUAGAGAUGGACUCCAAAGCUAGUGAUGAAAAUACGUGCUCAUUCCAUCCAGAGGAGGGCAAUUGAUCAAUUUCUUAAACACUAGUACCCAGAAAGAUUCCUUCAUUUGCUUGAAUGUCCUUUCAACAUCGGCAUGAACAUUUAGGGGGGGAAACGCCAUUAGUUUUCAAGAAGGGACACUGUGUGCCUUAGGGUUCCUCAGGUUGCAGGGUCGCCUCAGCUAGGCUAGGUGUGCGCCCUUCUUCCUGGAAAUCGGCUCUUAACUUUCCCGAUGCGGUUCUGCCGCACGGGCAGCGUUGGGGGCUGUGUCCUGUGGUUGGUGUCUCUUGAAUCCACAAAGUUCCUCCUAUAGUCAUUGGUUCCGCCGCCUCAGACGAACAACUUCCUCUCUUCCCCACUUUGGAAUUUGCUCCUGAUUCGAUCAAGGCGCAGGCAGCAGCAACAGCUUCCAGCCCAGACAGGCUUCAGCACGGCACCAGCCGGUACAGCUCGAGGGUGUCCCGGGUGGGUGGCUCUCAGCGGGGCCCUACCUGGGCGGUCGCUGCUUGCAGAACCCUCCCCUGGAAACCUCCCCCACCCCCACCCCCCAACCAAACACAGCACAGUGCCUCCAGCUCCGGGCUGCUGAUCACCUGUCAACGGGGAACCGGCAGAGACCAGGAUUUCUCCUCGCUGCUGCUGUUGUUAGGGGAAACAGACAACCAUCUGCAUCUAGACCAGCCUUUCUGUCUCUCUCCCCUUUUAAAGCGAGGUCUUCCUGCUCCGAAUCUGAAUUUCCACAAUGUUUGUAGUGUUAGACAUUCAUUACACAAAAGCCUUCAUAAAUUUUGUACAUCUUUCUGAGAGCCACAUGCAGAAGUGCAAGAGGAAGAAGACGCUAGAACACUGGAAAAGGGAUCACAUGGUCUGUGAGGUGAAAUGAAACUGGCCAACCCUGGAAUCGGAUAGAAUGCAAUGAAGAAAGAGAAGAAAAUUUCUAAAAAAAAAAAAGGGAAAGAGAGGAACUCGACAUUGUAUCAAGCAGAAUGUGUAUCCACUAGACUGUGAGCACCUCAACACAAGAGAUUUGGGUUGAGAGUUAAACUAAUUGACUAAAUAUCACUUGACGGAUAAUCACCAGAUCUUCUAAGAUGGUCUACCUGGUAAAGUGAUAUAGAGUCAAUUUUAGGUAUCCUCGUGUAUCGUGCCCUAUUUGCAUUUCCUGGUACUUUGUGUGGAUCAUUAGUUCUCUUCACGAACUGUUAGGGAAUUAAUGUGGUUUUAUGGUCCGCUCCUUCCAGCUGGUACUUAAGCAUCGUGGGUCAGUAGAAAUGUGAACAGUAGAGCGCUGAGCCAAUACUCCUUAUAAUCUGUUGUGUUCCCAAAUGGCCAAAGGAAUAACAGAGAUUAAAGAGAGAUAAAUGUA